ACACAUAUGAUGAGUUACUCGGAAUCCCCGACAUAAUGGGUGAUGCAAGCUCGAGUUUCUGAUGCU